CAGUCGCCGCGGUAAUACGAAGGGGGCUAGCGUUGUUCGGAUUUACUGGGCGUAAAGCGCACGUAGGCGGACUUUUAAGUCAGGGGUGAAAUCCCGGGGCUCAACCCCGGAACUGCCUUUGAUACUGGAAGUCUUGAGUAUGGUGGAGGUGAGUGGAAUUCCGAGUGUAGAGGUGAAAUUCGUAGAUAUUCGGAGGAACACCAGUGGCGAAGGCGGCUCACUGGACCAUUACUGACGCUGAGGUGCGAAAGCGUGGGGAGCAAACAGGAUUAGAGACCCCUGUAGUCCCUGUCUCUUAUAC
rnacentral:rRNA from 1 species